rnacentral:tRNA from 1 species
GCGGAGGUUUUUGCAGUUGGUUAGCGCGUAGGUCUCAUAUACUCUGUAUGACUUGGGAUUUUUCCUAAGGUCGAGGGUUCGAACCCCUUUUUUUUUU